CUCCCUCUCAGAGCCUGCACUCCCUCCUGCACUCCAACCCCCUGCCUCAGCAUGGUGAAACUAAUUCUUCUGAACUGAGAGGUUCUUCAGGGUCCAGGUCAACGUAGCGUUCUGGAAUUGCCACCUUUUCAGGUUUUGACAACUAUGGAAAAAGAGAGAGACCAUAACUUCUGAUACCUAGGACUUCAAAAACUCAAAGGCCUCGCACUGAUGUGUGCCUGAUGACAUUGGCUUCCCUUGGAAGAGGUGGAACAGCUGGUGGGUGAUCAUCAGGAUUGUAGACCUGAGGGAGAGGAGGUCUGGGUGGUGCUUCAUCUUCCUGGUAAAAGCUUCACUGGUGACUGAAGAGGAUGCUCAACUUUUUUCAGCUGUUGUGGUUGAAACUGUGUUCUAGGCUGAGUAUAAGGCUGUGGAAACAGCCUAACCUCCAAAGAGGACUUAACAGGACU